CGUGCCGAACCCACAUUUAAGUACAGGAUCAGGAGAACAGCAAAGUUACCCCAGAAUUUUCUUGGGUGUUGAGAGGAGAACAGCGCCAGUCCAAGGUAAAACCAUGAGGAAGUCUCUCGCAAUUCUGUUGAUCGUGGCCCUGACUGUGGCCAUGAUGUCCGACGGUGCUGAGAGUUGGGGCUCGGGCCGUCGUCGUCGUCGUCGCAAGUCGCUUCACGAGUAUGCCGGCGCAGCUGACCGCCAAGAGCGAGCUGUGCCAGCAGGUGAUGAACAAAUCAAGGAUGAUCAGAUCCACCAGCUCUUGGACGGAGCGCCCUAAGGAUGCUGUUCAUCCACAGCUACAAGCACUGGACCAGCUGUCACCGUGACACGUCGUGAACAUCGUUCAUUGUCCAGUAAUUUUUAACUGUCUAAAUUGUUGAUAUUAAAUCUCAGCAUGAAUGAAAA